UAGCAACGCAAUUCCAUUGCAAUUCCCUUGAAAUGCACUAAAACUGUAUUGUAUUGUAUGUUGACAUAGCUGUCCCUUUAAUAUUUCUGGCUGUAUUGGGCCACUGUGGGUUAUUACAAUGUUUUAUGGAAACAUCAGAUUGAGAGAAUUUUUGCCAUAUUUUUCAAGAGUUAGUCAACCCCCCUCCACCACCACCACCACCUGACAGAAAAGACUUAGCUAUCACAAGAUGGAUCCCACCACCAUACCACCUUGGAUGUAGAGUAAUAUACAGUAUAUAUAUUUAUUUUGCUAGUCUAUGACUAGCACUUAAAGGUCCCAUAUAAUGCUUAUUUUCAGGAUCAUACUUGUAUUUUGUGUUUCUACU